rnacentral:rRNA from 1 species
CCUACGGGAGGCAGCAGUGGGGAAUAUUGGGCAAUGGGCGCAAGCCUGACCCAGCAACGCCGCGUGAAGGAUGAAGGCCUUCGGGUUGUAAACCUCUUUUAAGAGGGAAGAGCAGAAGACGGUAUCUCCUGCAUAAGCUACGGCGAACUACGUGCCAGCAGACGCGGUAACACGUAGGUGGCAGGCGUUGUCCGGAUUUACUGGGUGUAAAGGGUGUGUAGGCGGGUUUGUAAGUCAGUUGUGAAAAUUAUGGGCUCAACCCAUAACCUGCGUCUGAAACUACAGAUCUUGAGAGUGGGAGAGGUAAACGGAAUGCCCGGGGUAGCGGUGAAAUGCGUAGAUAUCGGGAGGAACACCAGUGGCGAAGGCGGUUUACUGGACCACAACUGACGCUGAGACACGAAAGCGUGGGGAGCAAACAGGAUUAGAUACCCCUGUAGUC